ACCACCAUUUCUCCCCAGUGUGGUUCGUCCACCGAAGACGUGGAGCUGGCCAUCGUGCCCUGCUUCCAGUGCAACUCUCUCUGGUCCUUGGCAAGGCUGUCUUCACUCUCUCUUCACUCUCUCGGGACACAUGAUCAGGGACAACGAUAGACAUUUCCACCCUUGGCCCCGGCUCAGGCACUCGUAGCGGCCCUGCCUGCUCUCCCGACGAGGUGGGAGCAAAGGAGAUAGCGACGACGAUCUGCUGGACACAGAGACGGGGCCUCUCAAGCCCUCUUCCACAAGAAGAAGAGUCACAGCCCCGCCUGCCCAGUGCAUCCCAAGUGCCCCCUCGGUUCCCAGCAUUCCUCUGUGAAUACCUGAUCACCCUAGAAGUGCAGCAGAGGUUAACCAAGGGCGCCAAGGAGAGCGCCGCGACCGGAGUCGGGUCUGCAGCUCCAGCUGCAGAACACAUUCCCGUCACCCUUGUGAUGAAGGCAAGAGCACUGGAGAUAGUUGAGUCUGGAUUAGGAGUGGGUAGGCACAGAGCGAUGCUACUCAAGCAUGGCUGCGGAGUUUAGACCAAUGGUUUCCUGAGCCAGCCAUUGACUUUGAUGUUUGAAAGGAUAUCCUAUUGGAAGAAUGGACUCAAAGAGUUAUGUACAUAUGUGUGUGUGUAAUAUGUACACAUGUCCAUACACACGUGUGCACAUGUGACUUAUUUUUCUGAUGCCUUCAUUCCCACUCUGUUACUCCUUAUCUCCAUCCCGGAGAAUUUUUCCAAACCAACCAAUGUAUUGAGAAUUCUGAAACUUCCUUUGCUCUCCAGGGCUCUGCCCAUCCUGCUCUGAAAGGGCUGAGGGAGAGUCUGCAUUCCAGUGCUUCUUGGGUGUGGGUGGCUUUGGCUCCCUCCUCUUCACCCUGCAUCAUGGAAUUCUAUUCCCACUUUUCAAUGUCCCCCGUACUCUCUGUUUCUUACAGUUUAGUGAUAUGCUAUGAAAUGCAUAUGCUGUAUCUGCUUCACCAUUUCUCAAAUGAGAAGCAUUUUCCUCAUUUUCUAGUUCUUUGCACUUAAAUGGUCCUACUAUAAGCAUUUUGGUUUAAAGCGAGCCCUUCUUUUUGUCAGCGCCUCCUUAGAGUAGGUACCUCGCCGUGGAAGCUCUAGGUCAGAGGAUAUGGAAGUGAGAAUCACUUUAUUCAUAUAAUUUAAAAAAUGCUUCUCAAAGGUUGAACUAGCUCACAAAUCUAACAACAAGGCAUCACGGUGAGUCUCUUAACAGUCACUCCAAUAUUGCCUAUUUUCUUCUCUUGCCAUCAUUCUCAAUUUGCUGCUAUUUGAAGUAAAAUCUCACUUGAAUUUGAAUUUUUGUUGUUAAUAAUUUGUUGAUUUUUUCAUGUGAUUUUUAGUUAUUGACAGUUUAUUUGAUUACUUUUUGCUCAUUUCCAUUGAUCACUUAUUUCUUGGGUGGGUGCUUUUGGCUUCAUACAUUUUGGUCAAUUGUGUAUAUAUCUUUGAUACCAAACUUUUACCUGAGAAGUUUUAUUAGAAUUUUAUCUCCUUUAUCCUUUUCCCUUCUCAGG
rnacentral:lncRNA from 1 species